rnacentral:rRNA from 1 species
ACGUACACUCCUGCGGGAGGCAGCAGUGAGGAAUAUUGGACAAUGGGUGGAAGCCUGAUCCAGCCAUCCCGCGUGCAGGAAGACGGCCCUAUGGGUUGUAAACUGCUUUUAUCUGGGGAUAAACCUACUUACGUGUAAGUAGCUGAAGGUACCAGAAGAAUAAGCACCGGCUAACUCCGUGCCAGCAGCCGCGGUAAUACGGAGGGUGCAAGCGUUAUCCGGAUUUAUUGGGUUUAAAGGGUCCGUAGGCGGACUGAUAAGUCAGUGGUGAAAUCCGACAGCUUAACUGUCGAACUGCCAUUGAUACUGUUAGGCUUGAGUAAGGUUGAAGUGGCUGGAAUAAGUAGUGUAGCGGUGAAAUGCAUAGAUAUUACUUAGAACACCAAUUGCGAAGGCAGGUCACUAAGUCUUAACUGACGCUGAUGGACGAAAGCGUGGGGAGCGAACAGGAUUAGAAACCCCUGUAGUCCCAUG